rnacentral:rRNA from 1 species
UGGGGAAUAUUGCACAAUGGGCGCAAGCCUGAUGCAGCCAUGCCGCGUGUGUGAAGAAGGCCUUCGGGUUGUAAAGCACUUUCAGCGAGGAGGAAGGUGGUGAACUUAAUACGUUCAUCAAUUGACGUUACUCGCAGAAGAAGCACCGGCUAACUCCGUGCCAGCAGCCGCGGUAAUACGGAGGGUGCAAGCGUUAAUCGGAAUUACUGGGCGUAAAGCGCACGCAGGCGGUUUGUUAAGUCAGAUGUGAAAUCCCCGGGCUCAACCUGGGAACUGCAUUUGAAACUGGCAAGCUAGAGUCUCGUAGAGGGGGUAGAAUUCCAGGUGUAGCGGUGAAAUGCGUAGAGAUCUGGAGGAAUACCGGUGGCGAAGGCGGCCCCCUGGACGAAGACUGACCGCUCAGGUGCGAAAGCGUGGGGGGCC